rnacentral:tRNA from 3 species
UCCGCAGUAGCUCAGUCGGUUAGAGCAUCUGACUGUUAAUCAGAGGGUCCCCGGUUCGAGUCCGGGCUGCGGAGCAA